rnacentral:tRNA from 1 species
CUAUCUGUAGCGUAGUGGCUAACGCGCUUGUUUUGGGUACAAGAGAUCGCAGAUUCGAAUUCUGCCAGAUAGACCA